rnacentral:RNase_P_RNA from 1 species
AUUGCAAAACGUUCUAUCGCUCCCGGCGCUUUGUUUGGGAGAGGAAAGUCCGGGCAACACAGAGCAUCCUGCUUCCUAACGGGAAGGCGCCGGCAGCCGGCGACAGCAAGUGCCACAGAAAAUAUACCGCCCUGAGUAAUUGGGGUAAGGGUGAAAACGUGAGGUAAGAGCUCACGGCUUUCCCGGGCGACCGGGAUCGCGGUAAACCUCAGGAGUUGAAAAACCAAAUAGGUCCCGGAAGCGGAGCUGCUCGUUUCCGUAUCCGCCAACAGGCGGAUCGCCGGGAUGGGUAGGUUGCUUGAACCUGUCAGCAAUGGCAGGGCCAGAUUAAUGAUAGAAACCAUGCCCGUUAAAAGGCAUGGAACAGAACCCGGCUUACAGGUUUGCUGCUGCA